UGGUGGAGCGAUUUGUCUGGUUAAUUCCGAUAACAACGAGACUCUGGCCUAUUAAAUAGUUCGCCGAUUCCGAUCUGUCGGCGUUAACUUCUUAGAGGGACAAGUGGCUUUUAGCCACGCGAGAUUGAGCAAUAACA
rnacentral:rRNA from 1 species